GCGAGCGGCGGAUGAGUGAGUAACACGUGGGGAACCUGCCCCUAAGUCUGGGAUACCAUUUGGAAACAGGUGCUAAUACCGGAUAAUAAAGCAGAUCGCAUGAUCAGCUUUUGAAAGGCGGCGUAAGCUGUCGCUAAGGGAUGGCCCCGCGGUGCAUUAGCUAGUUGGUAAGGUAACGGCUUACCAAGGCGACGAUGCAUAGCCGAGUUGAGAGACUGAUCGGCCACAUUGGGACUGAGACACGGCCCAAACUCCUACGGGAGGCAGCAGUAGGGAAUCUUCCACAAUGGACGCAAGUCUGAUGGAGCAACGCCGCGUGAGUGAAGAAGGUUUUCGGAUCGUAAAGCUCUGUUGUUGGUGAAGAAGGAUAGAGGUAGUAACUGGCCUUUAUUUGACGGUAAUCAACCAGAAAGUCACGGCUAACUACGUGCCAGCAGCCGCGGUAAUACGUAGGUGGCAAGCGUUGUCCGGAUUUAUUGGGCGUAAAGCGAGCGCAGGCGGAAAAAUAAGUCUAAUGUGAAAGCCCUCGGCUUAACCGAGGAACUGCAUCGGAAACUGUUUUUCUUGAGUGCAGAAGAGGAGAGUGGAACUCCAUGUGUAGCGGUGGAAUGCGUAGAUAUAUGGAAGAACACCAGUGGCGAAGGCGGCUCUCUGGUCUGCAACUGACGCUGAGGCUCGAAAGCAUGGGUAGCGAACAGGAUUAGAUACCCUGGUAGUCCAUGCCGUAAACGAUGAGUGCUAAGUGUUGGGAGGUUUCCGCCUCUCAGUGCUGCAGCUAACGCAUUAAGCACUCCGCCUGGGGAGUACGACCGCAAGGUUGAAACUCAAAGGAAUUGACGGGGGCCC
rnacentral:rRNA from 1 species